GGCACGGUACGCCAACCGGUAGAGCGAUCAAGUUUAAACCUUGGGGGGUGUGGGUUCGAAUCCCUCCCGUGCUACCU
rnacentral:tRNA from 1 species